GACGAACGCUGGCGGCGUGCUUAACACAUGCAAGUCGAACGGUAAGGCCCUUCGGGGUACACGAGUGGCGAACGGGUGAGUAACACGUGGGUGAUAUGCCCUGCACUUCGGGAUAAGCCUGGGAAACUGGGUCUAAUACCGGAUAGGACCACUGCCUGCAUGGGUGGUGGUGGAAAGCUUUUGCGGUGUGGGAUGGGCCCGCGGCCUAUCAGCUUGUUGGCGGGGUGAUGGCCUACCAAGGCGACGACGGGUAGCCGGCCUGAGAGGGUGACCGGCCACACUGGGACUGAGAGACGGCCCAGACUCCUACGGGAAGCAGCAGUGGGGAAUAUUGCACAAUGGGCGCAAGCCUGAUGCAGCGACGCCGCGUGAGGGACGACGGCCUUCGGGUUGUAAACCUCUUUCAGCACCGACGAAGCGCAAGUGACGGUAGGUGCAGAAGAAGGACCGGCCAACUACGUGCCAGCCGCCGCAGUAA
rnacentral:rRNA from 1 species